UAGGGAAUCUUCGGCAAUGGGGGGAACCCUGACCGAGCAACGCCGCGUGAGUGAAGAAGGUUUCCGGAUCGUAAAGCUCUGUUGUUAAGGAAGAACGAGUGUGAGAAUGGAAAGUUCAUACUGUGACGGUACUUAACCAGAAAGGGACGGCUAACUACGUGCCAGCAGCCGCGGUAAUACGUAGGUCCCGAGCGUUGUCCGGAUUUAUUGGGCGUAAAGCGAGCGCAGGCGGUUAGAUAAGUCUGAAGUUAAAGGCAGUGGCUCAACCAUUGUAGGCUUUGGAAACUGUUUAACUUGAGUGCAGAAGGGGAGAGUGGAAUUCCAUGUGUAGCGGUGAAAUGCGUAGAUAUAUGGAGGAACACCGGUGGCCAAAGCGGCUCUCUGGUCUGUAACUGACGCUGAGGCUCGAAAGCGUGGGGAGCGAACAGG
rnacentral:rRNA from 1 species